rnacentral:rRNA from 1 species
AGUGAACGCUGGCGGUAGGCCUAACACAUGCAAGUCGAACGGCAGCACAGGAGAGCUUGCUCUCUGGGUGGCGAGUGGCGGACGGGUGAGGAAUACAUCGGAAUCUACUUUUUCGUGGGGGAUAACGUAGGGAAACUUACGCUAAUACCGCAUACGACCUACGGGUGAAAGCAGGGGACCUUCGGGCCUUGCGCGAUUGAAUGAGCCGAUGUCGGAUUAGCUAGUUGGCGGGGUAAAGGCCCACCAAGGCGACGAUCCGUAGCUGGUCUGAGAGGAGGAUCAGCCACACUGGAACUGAGACGCGGUCCAGACUCCUACGGGAGGCAGCAGUGGGGAAUAUUGGACAAUGGGCGCAAGCCUGAUCCAGCCAUACCGCGUGGGUGAAGAAGGCCUUCGGGUUGUAAAGCCCUUUUGUUGGGAAAGAAAUCCAGCUGGCUAAUACCCGGUUGGGAUGACGGUACCCAAAGAAUAAGCACCGGCUAACUUCGUGCCAGCAGCCGCCGUAA